ACUGAGCGGCGGACGGGUGAGUAACGCGUGGGUAACCUGCCCCAUACAGGGGGAUAACAGUUGGAAACGGCUGCUAAUACCGCAUAAGCGCACAGUACCGCAUGGUACGGUGUGAAAAACUCCGGUGGUAUGAGAUGGACCCGCGUCUGAUUAGGUAGUUGGUGGGGUAACGGCCUACCAAGCCGACGAUCAGUAGCCGACCUGAGAGGGUGACCGGCCACAUUGGGACUGAGACACGGCCCAA
rnacentral:rRNA from 1 species